rnacentral:rRNA from 1 species
ACCCGCUGAACUUAAGCAUAUCAAUAAGCGGAGGAAAAGAAACCAACAGGGAUCGCCUCAGUAACGGCGAGUGAAGCGGCGACAGCUCAAAUUUGAAAUCUGGCUCUUUUUGGAGCCCGAGUUGUAAUUUGUAGAGGAUGUUUCGGGCGCGGCGCCGGUCUAAGUCCCUUGGAACGGGGCGUCAUAGAGGGUGAGAAUCCCGUAUGUGACCGGUGACUAAGCCUAUAUGAAACUCCUUCGACGAGUCGAGUUGUUUGGGAAUGCAGCUCAAAAUGGGUGGUAAAUUUCAUCUAAAGCUAAAUACUGGCCAGAGACCGAUAGCGCACAAGUAGAGUGAUCGAAAGAUGAAAAGCACUUUGGAAAGAGAGUCAAAAAGUACGUGAAAUUGUUGAAAGGGAAGCGCUUGCAACCAGAUCUGCUCGCGGGUGAUCAGCCGUUCUUCUGAGCGGUGCACGCACCCGUGAUUAGGCCAGCAUCGGUUCUGGCGGCCGGACAAAGGCCUUGGGAAUAUAGCUCCUUUCGGGGAGUGUUAUAGCUCUUGGUGCAAUGCGGCCAGCCGGGACCGAGGAUCGCGCUUCGGCAAGGAUGCUGGCGUAAUGGUUGUAAGCGGCCCGUCUUGAAACACGGACCAAGGAGUCUAACAUCUAUGCGAGUGUUUGGGUGGAA